CGGCCACUGAACAUCUUGGGCAAUUCAGCCCCCAGCGCUGCUCAGGACAUUCUUUUGGGUUUACAAGGAAUCUUUAUUGGAGCAGUACACAACGAUAAGCAUUAAUAGAAAGGGCAUUCCUCUCCCAUAGCUUUAAAGAGAAGCCAUUAAUUCCCUUUGCAGAAAUGUGUGCAAUGUGAAUUCCUGGAAGGGCGCGGCUGGAGGGAGAAAGGACUGCGAGAUGAAAACCUGGGGGAACGGUGUCAAAAAUAAAAUGUCGUGCUGUGAGUGCUGGUCCUGAAGUGCUGAUGUGCUGCCAACCACAGGGUUAAUCCCAGGCUCUGGAUGUACAGAUGGGUGCUCCAAGACUCCUUGCCACCACCCUGUGACAGCCACUCCAUGGGGCAGGAAGGGAAGAGAGGAGCUGGAGAUGUGAGCACUCAGAAAGGCAAUUAACCACUGGCCCAGAUAAGAGUGAAAUAUUCCAUCUGCUUUUGUUUUAAUGGCAUUGAUCUAAAGCAGGGAUGCAACGAUUUCCAGUGCAGAAGUUUAUGGUCUGUGUUUGCUGGUGGGAAUGUCUCUCUGUCCCUGAGAGUGGGAAUGCUCCAUGUUGGUGCAGUUUAUCUUCUGCAAACCUCGUCUGUGGAACUCUCGUCUUCCUACCUGGUGCAACCCUCUCAAGCAGGGGACUGAGAGAUGUGGUGGGCAGCAAAAGCUCUGCACAUCUCCCAGGGUGUUUUGCAAAGCCAGCUCAAAGUCUGUGCAGAGACACAACAGAGAUAAAGCAGAAACGAGGGUCACCGACAGCCUGGGCUACCAAAGGUGUGGGUCAUAAUGAGCCCACAGCAACAUUUGCACACACUUCUGGAGCACAGCCUUUGAAGGGACAAGGCUGUAUUUUGACUGAAUUCUGGCUGAAUUUUGACUGAAUUUUGACUGAAGGUUUCGUGGUGUGUUUCUCUGCUAUGGCCCCAGGAUCAAUGGUUUGGCCAGAAACUUCUUACUGCAAAACAGCAGGACUUAAGGCAGUGCAAACCUCACAGUAAAAAACCCAGAAAAAUGGGUAUAUUGUUCAUCCAAAUAAAGGCUUCAUCCUUUGAAUUAUAUUUAAAGAU
rnacentral:lncRNA from 1 species